GCCCUGGUGGUGGAAUGGUAGACACGGUAGACUCAAAAUCUGCUGCUCGCAAGGGCGUGUGGGUUCAAGUCCCACCCGGGGUA
rnacentral:tRNA from 1 species